rnacentral:tRNA from 1 species
GCCAAUGUAGCUUAGCGGUAGAGCACCCGCUUAGUAAGCGGGAGGUCGUCGGUUCGAACCCGGCCAUUGGCU